GAGAGUUUGGCGAUGUUGUGCGUAGCAUGGAAAACAAAAUGGACACUGUGCUGCAACAUUUCAGUGCCAAUGUGUCUGUUGGAGAGCUAUCCCUGCCAGGGGAUGUUACUCCCCCUAGACACCCAGGAAGAUUUGGUGUUUCUUGACAGCAUUUUGAGGGAGGAUAAAGAGCUCCAGGAACGAUUUCUUCGGUUUUUGGCUAUCAAAUGUGGGAGGGACCUGAAGACAACAGUGUGGAGAAUGCUUCAGAGUAUUUUCUCUAAUAACCUUGCCGUUAAUACAACCUGGACUGGUAUAGGGGAUAAAACCUGUUUUAGAGACCUGUUCCUGAAGACCAUUGUUCAAAGUAAUUUUUUUAAGUAGAUGCCCUUAUGCCUUAUGCCAUUCAAAUGUAAUGACAGAUCUGUAUUUUCUACAGGGGCCCUCCGGAAGAACCCGGCAACCCAGGAUGCCACUGAUGAGGCGGUCCAGGUUAACGUUACACGUUACCUGAAAGGAGCAUCAGACUGUGAAGGAGGAAAAAGCCGCCCAGCUGAGAAGGACCCACAGCCAACCCCUUAAACCUAGGCUGACUACUGACACCCCAGCAUCCCUGAACUGGAACACUUUCUUUAUCCUGCAGUCAGUAACAUCAAGAAGCCAGAAGUGCCAGACUACACUCACCAAACCCACCCUGUUUUUUUUGUAUUAACUUUAGUAUUGGCUUAUUUCAUUCCAUCUUAACGAUUCUAUUAUAGUUUGUAAAUCCUAUUUCAUACCUGUUACUUGAUAUUGCGCAUUAACUAGUACCAACAUUCUACUUUCAUUUCAUCACUAUGCUUAACUGUUAUUCAAUUAAUAAUAGCUUGGAAAUACUAUUUCGUACCUCUGAUACUUGAUAUUGCACAGUACCUGGUACCAAAUAUUCUACUUACUCUGUUUUUAACAUCAGCAUUUUUCAUUCCAUCACAGUGCUUAACUGUUAUUCUAUUGUUAAAUAUAGCUUGUAAAUCCUUGUGCCACAGGUCAGCAUUGCAGUUAUAAUGGUCUGUUCUACAACUGUUUUUACCUCUGUAUUUUUAUAUAUGUAUAUCAAGUUUUGUGUAUCACAGAUACAAGAGACACAUCUUAAUGCAGCAUGGUGUAAAUAUUGUGCUCCAGGUCAGCAAUGCCAUUAUAAUGGAAUAUUCUACUCUAGAGCUUUAUUCAAUGGCUUGAAAAUGUGAUGUUCUACCUCGUUUUAUUUGGUAUCCUGCACAUUCUUUGGUACCAAAUAUCCUCAUUACUUGUUAUGUUUACUGGUAAUUAUUUUCAUCGCAGAGCUGACCUCUAUAUUAUUAACAAUGAUUGUGUUUGUGUUAUAAUUUGCUUGUAUGGCUGUUCUUUUUUUUUUUAACCAACAUUUUAUUGGAAACCUGCAUGUUCUCUGUGUAUUUGUUUAUUUUUUUCUGCCUAUUAUUUAUUUCAGUGAUCUGACACAUCUUGUUUGAAUGACAGUUACUGUACUUUGAAAUGUGGAAUUAAAACACCAAAUAGAAAU
rnacentral:lncRNA from 1 species